rnacentral:snRNA from 1 species
UUACUUACCUGGCAGGGGAGAUACCAUGAUCACGAAGGUGGUUUUCCCAGGGCAAGGCUUAUCCAUUGCACUCCGGAUGUGCUGACCCCUGCAAUUUCCCCAAAUGCGGGAAACUCGACUGCAUAAUUUAUGGUAGUGGGGGACUGCGUUUGCGCUCUUCCCUG